CUACGGGGCGCUCCAGUGAGGAAUAUUGCACAAUGGGGGGAACCCUGAUGCAGCAACGCCGCGUGGAGGAUGACGCAUUUCAGUGUGUAAACUCCUUUUAUAUGUCAAGAAAAUGACGGUAGCAUAUGAAUAAGCACCGGCUAACUCCGUGCCAGCAGCCGCGGUAAUACGGAGGGUGCAAGCGUUACUCGGAAUCACUGGGCGUAAAGGACGCGUAGGCGGGUUGGAAAGUCAGGUGUGAAAUCCUACAGCUUAACUGUAGAACUGCACUUGAAACUUCUAAUCUAGAGUAUGGGAGGGGGGGAUGGAAUUAGUGGUGUAGGGGUAAAAUCCGUAGAUAUCGCUAGGAAUACCUAAAGCGAAGGCGAUCUCCUGGAACAUUACUGACGCUAAGGCGUGAAAGCGUGGGGAGCAAACAGGAUUAGAUACCCGGGUAGUC
rnacentral:rRNA from 1 species